UACGAAGGGGGCUAGCGUUGCUCGGAAUCACUGGGCGUAAAGCGCACGUAGGCGGGUCCUUAAGUCAGGGGUGAAAUCCCGGAGCUCAACUCCGGAACUGCCUUUGAUACUGGGGAUCUUGAGUCCGGAAGAGGUGAGUGGAACUCCGAGUGUAGAGGUGAAAUUCGUAGAUAUUCGGAAGAACACCAGUGGCGAAAGGCGGCUCACUGGUCCGGUACUGACGCUGAGGUGCGAAAGCGUGGGGAGCAAACAGG
rnacentral:rRNA from 1 species